rnacentral:rRNA from 1 species
GUAGAUGGCAAGCGUUGUCCGGGAAUUAUUGGGGCGUAAAGCGCGCGCAGGCGGUUCUUUAAGUCUGAUGUGAAAGCCCACGGGCUCAACCGUGGAGGGUCAUUGGAAACUGGAGAACUUGAGUACAGAAGAGGAAAGCGGAAUUCCACGUGUAGCGGUGAAAUGCGUAGAGAUGUGGAGGAACACCAGUGGCGAAGGCGGCUUUCUGGUCUGUAACUGACGCUGAGGCGCGAAAGCGUGGGGAGCAAACAGGAUUAGAUACCCUGGUAGUCCACGCCGUAAACGAUGAGUGCUAAGUGUUAGGGGGUUUCCGCCCCUUAGUGCUGCAGCUAACGCAUUAAGCACUCCGCCUGGGGAGUACGGCCGCAAAGGCUGA